rnacentral:rRNA from 1 species
AUUGAACGCUGGCGGCAGGCCUAACACAUGCAAGUCGAACGGUAACAGGAAGAAGCUUGCUUCUUUGCUGACGAGUGGCGGACGGGUGAGUAAAGUCUGGGAAACUGCCUGAUGGAGGGGGAUAACUACUGGAAACGGUAGCUAAUACCGCAUAACGUCGCAAGACCAAAGAGGGGGACCUUCGGGCCUCUUGCCAUCGGAUGUGCCCAGAUGGGAUUAGCUAGUAGGUGGGGUAACGGCUCACCUAGGCGACGAUCCCUAGCUGGUCUGAGAGGAUGACCAGCCACACUGGAACUGAGACACGGUCCAGACUCCUACGGGAGGCAGCAGUGGGGAAUAUUGCACAAUGGGCGCAAGCCUGAUGCAGCCAUGCCGCGUGUAUGAAGAAGGCCUUCGGGUUGUAAAGUACUUUCAGCGGGGAGGAAGGGAGUAAAGUUAAUACCUUUACUCAUUGACGUUACCCGCAGAAGAAGCACCGGCUAACUCCGUG